UGGGGAAUAUUGCACAAUGGAGGGAACUCUGAUGCAGCGACGCCGCGUGAACGAAGAAGGCUUUCGAGUCGUAAAGUUCUUUUAUAUGGGAAGAUAAUGACGGUACCAUAAGAAAAAGCCCCGGUUAACUACGUGCCAGCAGCCGCGGUAAUACGUAGGGGGCUAGCGUUGUCCGGAAUCACUGGGCGUAAAGGGUUCGCAGGCGGAAAUGCAAGUCAGGUGUAAAAGGCAGUAGCUUAACUACUGUAAGCAUUUGAAACUGCAUAUCUUGAGAAGAGUAGAGGUAAGUGGAAUUUUUAGUGUAGCGGUGAAAUGCGUAGAUAUUAAAAAGAAUACCGGUGGCGAAGGCGACUUACUGGGCUCAUUCUGACGCUGAGGAACGAAAGCGUGGGUAGCAAACAGG
rnacentral:rRNA from 1 species